GAUGAACGCUCGCUACAGGCUUAACACAUGCAAGUCGCGGGGCAGCAUGGGGGUUGCUUGCAAUCCCCGAUGGCGACCGGCGCACGGGUGAGUAACGCGUAUCCAACCUGCCCUUCACCACGGGAUAACCCGGCGAAAGUCGGACUAAUACCGUAUGUUGUCCAUUGACGGCAUCCGAUUUGGACGAAAGGCUUGGCGGUGAGGGAUGGGGAUGCGUCCGAUUAGCCAGACGGCGGGGUAACGGCCCACCGUGGCUACGAUCGGUAGGGGCUCUGAGAGGAAGGUCCCCCACACUGGAACUGAGACACGGUCCAGACUCCUACGGGAGGCAGCAGUGAGGAAUAUUGGUCAAUGGGCGUAAGCCUGAACCAGCCAAGUAGCGUGCAGGAUGACGGCCCUAUGGGUUGUAAACUGCUUUUAUGCGGGGAUAAAGUGGCCCACGUGUGGGCUUUUGCAGGUACCGCAUGAAUAAGGACCGGCUAAUUCCGUG
rnacentral:rRNA from 1 species